ensembl:misc_RNA Metazoa_SRP Metazoan signal recognition particle RNA
GCUGGGCAUGGUGGCUCAUGCCUGUAUUCCCAGCUACUCAGGAGGCUGAGGUGGGAGGAUUACUUUAGCCCAGGAAUUCAAGGUUAUGGUGAGCUAUGUUUGUGCCACUGUACUUCAGCCUGGGCAACAGAUCAAGACCCUAUCUCUU